UCACGAACCCCCUGCUCUCUCCUAUGCAAUGCAUUCAAAAUUCUAAUGUUGUAAAUUUGUGGAUCAUGUUCGGUCUUGCCAAGUUUCCAGUGGUGUAGUUCACUUUGAAGACCUCCAAACCAUUCAGGAUGGAAUCAUAGUACUUUUAGGCUUUGUUGACUCCGAAGGGUGUGCAAAGGCACUCACAGCUGCUUAUCGCCAGGGCCAUUGCUCGUGUGCACUGAAUAGCCCUUCCGGGAGGCCCAUGCAUUUUGUGGGAGUUUUAUUGCUGAUUUGGAGGUGAAUUUAUUUUGGGAGUUCUUGGGAACCAACAG
rnacentral:lncRNA from 1 species